UACGAAGGGGGCUAGCGUUGCUCGGAAUCACUGGGCGUAAAGCGCACGUAGGCGGAUUGUUAAGUCAGGGGUGAAAUCCUGGAGCUCAACUCCAGAACUGCCUUUGAUACUGGCGAUCUCGAGUCCGGGAGAGGUGAGUGGAACUGCGAGUGUAGAGGUGAAAUUCGUAGAUAUUCGCAAGAACACCAGUGGCGAAGGCGGCUCACUGGUCCGGUACUGACGCUGAGGUGCGAAAGCGUGGGGAGCAAACGGG
rnacentral:rRNA from 1 species